CUGGGUGGGCACUAACAAUCAACUGCAGACGGGAGUUAGAGAGGUCGAGAAGGAAGAGCCCAUAGGGUGAAAGCGUUGCUAAGAGUCGACGAUAAAAAAGAGCUUAGUAGCCCACCAAGAGUUCAAGAGAAAGAACUCAAGGAGCCAGAGAGAAUCUCACUCAGGACCCCUAUGGAACUCGAACUUAAAGAAA
rnacentral:ncRNA from 1 species